UGGUGUUCCAGGAAGAACCAUGGAGAUGAAGGUAGAGCAGGAUAGAAAAAAAAGUUCUUGUUGGUCCGGGCAUAUUCGGUCACUGAUGGACCUCUGAAUCAUUAUUUUUUUAUAGGACAUUGAAGCCUUGUUUGAGUCCUAUGGCAUACAGGUGUGGUGUCACACACACACACACACACACACACACACACACACACUCCAUAUCACACACUCCAUGUCACUAACACUCAGCUUCCAUUUGCAGCUCUCACUGCUCAGAGCUCUGAUUGACAGACUCCUACAGGACGGCAUGGAGGAGCUUCUGCAUGACUUCUCAUCCAGGAAGAGGGUAAAGGUCAAAGAGCAUGAGACCAGCUCCAACAUCAUCACAGAGUACACGAACGCGGUGAACUAUGAAUUCUCCAGCGAACCGCUGAGUGAGGUGGAUGUGGGUGAGGACGCAGAUGAAGAGGGACCACUGCAGGAACCCAGCGACACUGUGUAUCUCCACAACAUUACGUACACUGUGAGUUCAAACCAGACUGAAGACAACAGGAAAAUCCCUACAGCAACGUUCAUCACUGCAGGAAACGUGGAGCAUAUGGACAGAAAUGCAGCUGUAGAUGGUCAGGAUCAGACAGGAGCCCUGGAGCUUCAGUUCUCCGCUGAGGAGGCGGACCCUGGCCAGGCCGAGCCAGCUGUGGCCACCAACCUACCUAUUCUGGGUGAGAUACCGAAGAAGACCUCUGGAGAGAAGAAGCGAGGGAAGGAGCGAGGAAAGGGCAAAGGGAACAAAGGACGGCAAAAACGUCAGAGGAAGCGCCCGACUGAUGUUGAGGAAGAGGAUGGUGAAGAGGCGGUGUCGUAUGAUGAUGAAGAGUACAGUUAUGAGUAUGAGGUUGAGUACAGUACAGCAGGGCAGCAUUACACGCAGGAGAAUGAGGGAGAGGAGAGGACACGUUCACACGAAGAAGAAGAAGACCACUUGCAGGAUGGAGCCCCACCCAACCAGACAGACACUGCAGCAGAGGAGGAUCUCCCCUAAACUCAGUCAGACAGACGUUCAGGACACACAACGUGUGUGUGUGUGUGAGGACAUGAACAUAUCCCGGUAGCUCUAAAAAGCCCUGAGCCACGUCCUGCACAGGAACAUGAGUUUAAUGCCAAAUUUA
ensembl:lncRNA